CGACGUUGAAGCAAGUGAUGGGGUCAGCAUCCGUACACUUGUGGAGUCUUGCAUGAGGGUUAAGCGGUUUCCACAGGCUGAUGUAGGGGAAAUCCCGAAAGAAAACGCUGUUG
ncrna:unclassified sequences drum RNA